AUUGAACGCUGGCGGAAUGCUUUACACAUGCCAGUCGAGCGGCAGCACGGGGGCAACCCUGGUGGCGAGCGGCGAACGGGUGGGUAACACAUCGGAACAUGCCCAGUCUUGGGGGAUAACACUUCGAAAGAAGUGCUAAUACCGCAUAGGUCCUGAUGGAGAAAGCGGGGGAUCGCAAGACCUCGCGCGAUUGGAGUGGCCGAUGUCAGAUUAGCUAGUUGGUGGGGUAAAGGCCUACCAAGGCAACGAUCUGUAGCUGGUCUGAGAGGAUGAUCAGCCACACUGGGACUGAGACACGGCCCAGACUCCUACGGGAGGCAGCAGUGGGGAAUCUUGGACAAUGGGGGCAACCCUGAUCCAGCCAUUCCGCGUGAGUGAAGAAGGCCUUCGGGUUGUAAAGCUCUUUCGGCAGGAAAGAAACGGUGAGCUAUAACAUAGCUUGCUAAUGACGGUACCUGAAGAAGAAGCACCGGCUAACUACGUG
rnacentral:rRNA from 1 species